AUCUGGCACUUUCAGUGUCCGAGUUGUAAUUUGAAGAAGGUAACUCUGGAGUUGGCCCUUGUCUAUGUUCCUUGGAACAGGACGUCACAGAGGGUGAGAAUCCCGUGCGAUGGGGUGUCCAAUUCUAUGUAGAGUGCUUUCGAAGAGUCGAGUUGUUUGGGAAUGCAGCUCUAAGUGGGUGGUAAAUUCCAUCUAAAGCUAAAUAUUGGCGAGAGACCGAUAGCGAACAAGUACAGUGAUGGAAAGAUGAAAAGAACUUUGAAAAGAGAGUGAAAAAGUACGUGAAAUUGUUGAAAGGGAAGGGCUUGAGAUCAGACUCGGUAUUUUGCGAUCCUAUCCUUCGUGGAGAGGUUUCACUUGCAGCUUACCGGGCCAGCAUCGGUUUGGAUGGUAGGAUAAUGACAUUGGAAUGUGGCUCUUCGGAGUGUUAUAGCCUUUGUUGAUACUGCCUAUCUAGACCGAGGACUGCGUCUUUGACUAGGAUGCUGACAUAAUGAUCA
rnacentral:rRNA from 1 species